rnacentral:rRNA from 1 species
GAUGAACGCUAGCUACAGGCCUAACACAUGCAAGUCGAGGGACCGGCGCACGGGUGAGUAACACGUAUCCAACCUGCCCUUUACUCGGGGAUAGCCUUUCGAAAGACAGAUUAAUACCCGAUAUAAAGGAUGGGGAUGCGUUUCAUUAGGUUGUUGGUGAAGUAACGGCCCACCAAGACUUCGAUGGAUAGGGGUUCUGAGAGGAAGGUCCCCCAGAUUGGAACUGCGGCCCGGUCCAAACUCGUACGGGAGGGAGCAGUGUUGAAUAUUGGGCAAGGGGCGUUAGCCUGAACCAGCCAAGUAGCGUGAAGGAUGAAGGCUUAUGGGUCGUAAACUUCUUUUAUAUAAGAAGAUGUAUUAUAUGAAUAAGGAUCGGCUAACUCCGUGCCAGCAGCCGCGGUAAUUC